AGAUAAUAUGGAUGCAAUUAUCUUUCUGCAACUACUGGUAACUUCAUAUGAUGUUUUAAACUAUCAUAUUCAGUUGUUGUUAUACUAAAA